CCACUGUGCCACUAUUCCGUUACGUUUCGUAUGUACGUUCAGUGUUUCCCAUACAUAGACCAACGGAUUCGCCCGCUCCUCUCAACGCGCCUACAAAGGAAAACCCGAAGCAGCGGAUAUUUGAGAUUAAUGUGAAAUGCGGUUAUAGUUUAUUUAUAUUAUGGUGUCAGACCCCAAGCCCGUUCUGCCGGCGAUUUGAAUUCGCUCUGAAGCAGGGACUGGAGAUCGGGAAGUGGGCCGGUCCACUUUGAAAUGUAUUUUGUGCGCGAUUACGCGAAUGAGCAAACGCAAAAUGUAAAGGUGUAUAGAAUUGAGAUAAAGGUGUAUAGAGCAGUAGAAUUGGGUUCCUUACACUUCAAGCCGAUUUGAAUGAUUUUCAUCCUGUCCACUAGUUUUGAUUAUUAGCUAAGAAUCUGGUGCAGAACCAAUUAUUAUAUAGGGAUCCAGGCAAAUGGAUCUUGGUCUGUCUACCUGUUAAGUUCCAUAUAGGUGAGGUAAAGGUCAGGUUUCAGGGUAAUCUGACCAACCUACUCAACUUUAACCUAAUGCCCACCAACCUAGUGCUUAGAGCCAAUAUGUCAGCUGGAUUAAUCAAGCCAACUGCUAGACGGAGACGGCCACAAGUGUGUGACUCGUAUUCUUUAUAGUAGGCAAGGCAACUUUAUUUAUAUAGCACUUUUCAUACACAAGGCAGACUCAAAGUGCUUCACAUAUAAACAUUGUUAUACAAUAAAAUAAAA